rnacentral:rRNA from 1 species
AGAACGAACGCUGGCGGCAGGCUUAACACAUGCAAGUCGAACGCGUGUAGCAAUACACGAGUGGCGCACGGGUGAGUAACGCGUGGAUAUCUGCCUUUUGGUUCGGAAUAACCCCGGGAAACUGGGGCUAAUACCGGAUGGUUCCUACGGGAUAAAGAUUUAUCGCCAAAAGAUGAGUCCGCGUCCGAUUAGCUAGUUGGUGGGGUAAUGGCCUACCAAGGCGACGAUCGGUAGCUGGUCUGAGAGGACGAUCAGCCACACUGGGACUGAGACACGGCCCAGACUCCUACGGGAGGCAGCAGUGGGGAAUAUUGGACAAUGGGGGCAACCCUGAUCCAGCCAUGCCGCGUGAGUGAUGAAGGCCUUCGGGUUGUAAAGCUCGUUUUGGCGGGGACGAUGAUGACGGUACCCGCAGAUAAGCCCCGGCUAACUUCGUGCCAGCAGCCGC